UUUUCUUGAUCAUUUCAUUUGUUAAAGUAUGGAAGCUUCUCAGCUUGAAGUAGUCACAUUGGCUUAGUUUGGCUUUGACUGCCUCUGCAUUUGGUGACUUUU